GCGUGUCACUGUGUUGAUUGAAAUAUCCUUUUCGUUGCAGUUGCCAAACUGAUUUUCUUUAGACAAUAGUACAAAUAACUUACUCUGGAUUAUUUUCUAACAAAGGCAUGUUAGAGAGACAUGUACAUUAGUCAUAGCACGCUUGUUUUUAAAGAGUUUGAAGGGUUAUACUCUGCCAGGGUACACCCCUACUCUUUUCGAGAAACUACCUGGGAUUUUUAAUGACCGCAGAGAGUCAGGACGUCGGUUUUUUUUACGUCUCAUCCGAUGCCUUUUUGCAGUAGUUUCCCCAUCACUAUGCUUGGCAUUGUGUCCCUAAUUGUGAAGAGUGUUUGUAUCCGGUUGAAUCGAUUUGGUGGAGCAAUACUGUUCUGAUGUGAUUUCAAGGUAGGUUUCCAGUAGCUCUGAUGCUUUUCUGUUUCCUUGUUUCUAGUUCUCAUCAUGGGUGCAUAAUCAAAGCUGCAUGAGCCAAAUAACAUUGAAUGCCAGCAAAGGCCAUAUUAUCAAAUACAGGCUCUGUUUACUCUUCAUAAGAUGUAAAAUCCCGUACUUGAGAGAUAAACAAAGGCUCUGUUCUUUUGCCCCUGAAUAAAGUGAGCAUGCAAGAGCUUCUGAAAUUAAAACCAGAUACCAUGAUAAACAGAAGCCACAGUGUUACAUCAUAGCUUCCUUUCUGCUGUUGCAAGUCACCUGGGCUGUAAUGAUUGAGGUCAUGUUUUUCAGAAUUUCUCAAAAACACAGUUCCUUUUUUAAACCUGAAAUUCCACUGACACAACAAUAUUGCCUUCCUCUCUUUAAUUGUUGUCAAAACACAGUUGCACAUUAGAGAUUCACUGCUAUCACAACAAUAGGACUUGGUUUUACUAUGACAAACACAGGUGACAUUAGCAGCAAGAAAAAGACAGUAUAAAUACAAGAUAUAACAUGCCUUCCAGUAGUUUCAAGACAGAACACCAGGCCACUUUUGAGAGGAAAAGAUCAAGGAAAUCAUGAAUGUUGCACAUUCCAUGUCAGAUUUGACAGGUUAACCUGUCAAGGACAGACAAAACUUUAUAAAAAUAGCAUAUAAUUAAAGGUGUUUAUUUUAUCUACACUUUGAAUAACAACUUGUGGUAAGCCUCGUGUUGCCCAGUGUAAAAUGAGAAGUUCAAGUGAAGUCAUUCAUGGUUUAUUCUGGGAUGAUCUAUAAUUGUGAAUUUUAUGUACUCUCGUGACUCCUGUAACAGUCAACUGGACACAUAAAAGAUCACAGUUUGAAAAUUAACACCCUGACAUCUGGAAAAAAAAAUGUAAUAACAACAUUCAAUUUUUUCUUUUAUUCCAUCCAUCAUUUAAAUACUACAAUACAGGGUAGAGGAGGAGCCAGACCAUAUCCCAGCAAGCUUUCUUCUUUUCUUUCUAAUAUUUAAUAUAUUAAUUGUCAUGUACACAUGCAAACACUUUGCCUGCAGAUCUUAGUGGCGAUCUUUGUGAAUUCAUAAACCGGUUCGGUUGAAAUGGUUCAGAUAAUCAUCAGGUUCUCCCUUCUUCACUCUGAUCUACUUGUGCGAUGGCAUUCCAAAGCAGUGGAUCAGAUAGAAAAAAAAACAGAGAAAGCAACAAAGUGAUGAACUCUUAUCAAACAGCCCUUCGCCCAUCCUUCCAUCCUUUCAUUUUCAAGAUGGGACACACCAUCGCAGGACAAACACAGACAGGAACACACACUCACACCCGGGUCAGUUUUCCCAGAAGUCCGUUAACCUGUCAGUAUGUCUUCAUACUCCGGGUGGAAACAGGAGCACCUGGAGGAAACCCAGAUCAACGCGAGGAGAACACACAAUCUUCAUACAGCAACCCAGUGGCUCUGUGCUGCAAGGCAGAAUGCUAACCAAUGCGCCUUCAUGCUCCCCUUUAUAAUUAAGCAAGUGAAUUAAUUUAUCUCAGAACGUAAGCAAUGCAAGAUAUCUGAUUGACAGUGAGACUAAGAUAAAUGAGGUCCAAAGAGAAGCUGGAAGCUGUUAAAAGUUCUUAAAAAACAGAAUACACCAUCAGUCAGUGGCACACCCAGGAAUAAUGGAAUAAUCUCAGCACCAACUGAGCAUAUACCAGCAAACAGCUUGCAUGUCACAGCUUGCAUUCUCAAACGCAAUGCACAAACUGGACCUGGGAGUGAGGAGUGCUCCCCAGUAGAUGUAAUCAUCUAUUAUAAUUCACAGUAAACAAAUGUUUAUCGAUAGGUUUAUCCUUAUUUUGUGAUGCGAAAGAUGAUCAUCUACAAUGUUAUUUUUUUAAACAUUUGGAGUUUAUUAGUGUCAUUAGGCAGAAAACAAACACAAAUCUAAAAAGCCCAUCUUACAAUACCUUGUGGGUUCAAAUCCCAUAUGGGACACGGUGAAAUUCACAAAUAUUCUCUCCGAAACCUGUCUAUAGUGUUUAUAAGCAAAAUUGAAGAAUAAGAAUAUAAGAGUUUAAAAAGUCAUCAAAAGCAUUAACAAAAAUUGCAAUUUGUUUUCCAACAAAGAUACUUUCAUACACUAUUCUAAUAACUAAAUUAACAUUUUGAGAAAUUUGCAACUGCAGCUUUUGGUUUGAUACCUCUAGAUUUUAACCUUCUAUUACAGUGUAUAUAGCCAAGGAAACGUAUGUGUGUGUGCAUUCAUAUGUACAGUGUUAGAUAUAUAUACACAGGAGCUCAGAGUGCUUCUUCCACUGCAUAGUUGCUUUGCAGUGAAAAAAGGCAACUGCUGGAGGUGAAAAGCAUACAGUGAGAGGUGCAGUGUAUUGAAGAGCUCGUUUUAAGCUGUUCCUUUCAGUCCAGUUUGGUCCAAAGGAGGAAGCCCUAAGGCGUCAGCUCUUUGACAUUCUACUGGUGCAGCAGGAAUGGCUCGGGAACCAACCAACAAGGGCAUUAAGCUUGCAUGAAGUGGUAGCAGAUGAGUGUGUAUGCGAAAAAGGCCUAUACUAAAAAUUACAAGGGUGCGUAUUCUCCAGACCUGGGCCUGACGUCUUCAAGGCUCUCACCAUGAAGAGGUUACAGAAAACCAUGAGCAUGAACAUAGGAGGGAUGGAGAAAGCUACGUACUCUAAGGCAUAUCUGUAGACGGUGAGGCACAUGAAGAGGCACAGGCCCAGACAGCCCACCGUCACCACAGCACAGCCCACCAGCCUGGCCCUGCUUUCUUUGAGCAGCAUAUAGUUGUAAGGUCCCGAGAUGUCGGAGGAGACCUCUAUUUGCAAGAGCAGGUUGCAGAGAAGAAGCUUCAGGUGGAGCCCAGCAGUAUUAGUGCAGUGAUCCAAGCUUUGAUUGCCAAUCACCCAGCUGUACUGCAAGACACUUGAACAACAUCUAUUUUAUUAUCUCGUUGUGACUAAUGCAAGCCUACUGAAAAAAAAACCACAAGAAAAAUUUUCCACUGUCAUGGACAUCACAGCAAUGUUUGUAUAACAAACUGGAAUAAAUAACACAGUCCCAACACUGAA